AUUGAACGCUGGCGGCAUGCUUUACACAUGCAAGUCGAACGGUAACAGGCCGCAAGGUGCUGACGAGUGGCGAACGGGUAAGUAAUGCACCGGAACGUGCCGGGUAGUGGGGAUAACUGCUCGAAAGAGCAGCUAAUACCGCAUACGACCUGAGGGUGAAAGGGGGGGAUCGCAAGACUUCUCUCUAUCGGGGCGGCCGAUGUCGGAUUAGCUAGUUGGUGGGGUAAAGGCCUACCAAGGCAACGAUCCGUAGCUGGUCUGAGAGGACGACCAGCCACACUGGGACUGAGACACGGCCCAGACUCCUACGGGAGGCAGCAGUGGGGAAUUUUGGACAAUGGACGCAAGUCUGAUCCAGCCAUGCCGCGUGCGGGAAGAAGGCCUUCGGGUUGUAAACCGCUUUUGUCAGGGAAGAAAUCUUCUGGGCUAAUACCCUGGGAGGAUGACGGUACCUGAAGAAUAAGCACCGGCUAACUACGUGCCAGCCGCCGCUGUAACAC
rnacentral:rRNA from 1 species